UUUUCCAUUAUAGCUACCACUUCACCAAGUAUUCCAAAAUAAUAAUACAUCUUUAGGGAUUACCAAUAAGGAUGGCAUUUGUAUAGCCUCUGUGCAGGCGUGCGCGCAUGUAUUUAUGUGUGUGUGUGUAGAGAGAGAGAGAGAGGGGACAACGUGGCUCUAUCGGCCAUGUCCCGCAAAGGGUUUCACUCCAUGAAAAAUUUGGCUAGAAGCAACUCCAUGAGAGCGACAGGAUAACAAUUUUAAAGCUUUAUUUAGUUGUUUCAUGCCAUAGUUAUCUGCAAUUAAAUUCUUUAUAAGUACCAAAUUUGGACAUCUUUAGAGAUUUAUAUGUUGAUCAUGUAAUCUAAUUUUCAAAAUGAAGACUGAAGUACUUUAUGGGCAUGGUUCAUCCAUCAAAGAAAGUAAAAUCCAUCAAACAAUACAAAAGAUCCCAACCACUUCAUUCUACUGAAAAUGAAAAGAACAAUUUGUUUAAAGUUCAAGUAAUAUCUCUGAAAAAAGCAAAGAGUUAAUAAAAACAAUUCAUCCAAGGUAUCACGGUUUAAAGUGAGUAAUUUGAAAUCAUUGGUCUUUCUACCAAUCAAAAUGAUAGUUCAUAGUGUAUUGAGGUCUAGAAAUCGUCACAAGGUGCGCCUGAAGCUUAAGCCCCAAAAAAACUGAAAUAGGAUCAUAAAAAAAUACCUGGUUAGUAAUAGUGGAAGGCCCAAAUUUCAUUUUCACCUCAGAAAAAAAGAUGUAAGAUUCCUAAUUUUUUAUAGAGACCCGGACAAUUUGAAAGAGGAAAA